AGCGAACGUUAGCGGCGGGCCUAACGCAUGCAAGUCGAACGCGAAAGGUCUUCGGACUGAGUAGAGUGGCGCACGGGUGAGUAACACGUAGGUAAUCUACCCUUUGGCGGGGGAUAACGUUCCGAAAGGAGCGCUAAUACCGCAUAAGACCACGGAGUCUCCGGACGCUGUGGGAAAAGGUGGCCUCUUCUUGAAAGCUACCACCGAAGGAUGAGCCUGCGUCCCAUCAGCUAGUUGGUAAGGUAAUGGCUUACCAAGGCGAAGACGGGUAGCUGGUUUGAGAGAAUGAUCAGCCACACUGGCACUGGAACACGGGCCAGACUCCUACGGGGAGGCAGCAGUGAGGAAUAUUGGGCAAUGGGCGAAAGCCUGACCCAGCCACGCCGCGUGAGUGAUGAAGGCCCUCGGGUCGUAAAGCUCUGUGGAGAGGGACGAAAACCCUGGUUUCAAAUAGGCUCCAGGCUUGACGGUACCUCUUUAGCAAGCACCGGCUAACUCUGUGCCAGCAGCCG
rnacentral:rRNA from 1 species